UACGAAGGGGGCUAGCGUUGCUCGGAAUCACUGGGCGUAAAGCGCACGUAGGCGGAUUGCUAAGUCAGGGGUGAAAUCCUGGAGCUCAACUCCAGAACUGCCUUUGAUACUGGCGAUCUCGAGUUCGGGAGAGGUGAGUGGAACUGCGAGUGUAUAGGUGAAAUUCGUAGAUAUUCGCAAGAACACCAGUGGCGAAGGCGGCUCACUGGCCCGAUACUGACGCUGAGGUGCGAAAGCGUGGGGAGCAAACAGG
rnacentral:rRNA from 1 species